GCCGCUCCCCGGACGGUCGCGGUUUUACUGACUUGUCAGUGGAGUCGAGGAAAGUCCGGACGCCAUAGGGCAUCGCGCCUCGUGAAUAACGAGGGACAGUUGGUUCAAGCCAACUGGACGGAAAGUGCAGCAGAAAAUAUACCGCCAUCCUCGGAUGGCAAGGGUGAAAAGGUGGGGUAAGAGCCCACCGCUCAGAGGGUAACCAAUGAGGCAGUGUAAACCCCGCGUGGCGCAAGACAUAACAGGAGAAGGGUGCCCACCCGAUUAGUAUCUCCGGGUAAUAGUCGCACCAUUCCGUAAGGAAGGUAUGCUACCUCGGUAGCGUAAGAUAAAUGACCGUCCAGUUCCACUUCGGUGGGAUGGACAGAAUCCGGCUUACAGGGGAGCGGCAACU
rnacentral:RNase_P_RNA from 1 species